AAACCAUGUUGGGAGGGCAUCUCCUGAUCAUCUACUUGUAUCUCUCCCAGGUCUCAUAGAGGGACUCUCCCCCUUUCUGUUUGAAGGUCUAGACAUCCACUCUAAGCUU